GACAGAGGGUGCAAACGUUGUUCGGAAUUACUGGGCGUAAAGCGCGUGUAGGCGGCCAUCUAAGUCGGGCGUGAAAUCCCACGGCUCAACCGUGGAAGUGCACCCGAAACUACCCAGCUCGAGUCUCGGAGAGGAAGGUGGAAUGCUUGGUGUAGAGGUGAAAUUCGUAGAUAUCAAGCGGAACACCGGUGGCGAAGGCGGCCUUCUGGACGAUGACUGACGCUGAGACGCGAAAGCGUGGGGAGCAAACAGG
rnacentral:rRNA from 1 species